AUCAACUUGGACUUGUUUAUGAAUAUGCUUCUCGUGGAAGUCUUAGAGAUCAUCUUUCAGAUAAAACUGGAAAUAGUCAAACAUUGAGUUGGAGAGAACGAAUUCGGAUAGCAGUGGAAGCCGCACAAGGUCUGGAGUAUCUACAGAAGGGAUGUGUGCCACCUAUAAUCCAUAGAGAUGUGAAGACUAACAAUAUCCUCUUAACACAUGACUUUGAGGCAAAGGUAGCAGAUUUUGGGCUGUCAAAGCCUUUCCUGACCGAUGCCCAGACUCACGUAUCUACUGAUGUUGUGGCUGGCACUCCAGGAUA